GGAAUCUGCCUAGUAGUGGGGGACAACGUUUCGAAAGGAACGCUAAUACCGCAUACGUCCUACGGGAGAAAGUGGGGGAUCUUCGGACCUCACGCUAUUAGAUGAGCCUAGGUCGGAUUAGCUAGUUGGUAGGGUAAAGGCCUACCAAGGCGACGAUCCGUAACUGGUCUGAGAGGAUGAUCAGUCACACUGGAACUGAGACACGGUCCAGACUCCUACGGGAGGCAGCAGUGGGGAAUAUUGGACAAUGGGCGAAAGCCUGAUCCAGCCAUGCCGCGUGUGUGAAGAAGGCCUUCGGGUCGUAAAGCACUUUAAGUUGGGAGGAAGGGCUCAUAGCGAAUACCUGUGAGUUUUGACGUUACCAACAGAAUAAGCACCGGCUAACUUCGUGCCAGCAGCCGCGGUAAUACGAAGGGUGCAAGCGUUAAUCGGAAUUACUGGGCGUAAAGCGCGCGUAGGUGGCUUGAUAAGUUGGAUGUGAAAUCCCCGGGCUCAACCUGGGAACUGCAUCCAAAACUGUCUGGCUAGAGUGCGGUAGAGGGUAGUGGAAUUUCCAGUGUAGCGGUGAAAUGCGUAGAUAUUGGAAGGAACACCAGUGGCGAAGGCGACUACCUGGACUGACACUGACACUGAGGUGCGAAAGCGUGGGGAGCAAACAGG
rnacentral:rRNA from 1 species